GUGGCAGUGGUGUGGUGGUAGCGCGGUGCAGUGGCGUGACAGAGGCCCUGGGUUCGAUUCCCAAGCCUGUCACU
rnacentral:tRNA from 1 species